AUUGAACGCUGGCGGCAGGCCUAACACAUGCAAGUCGAACGGUAACAGGAAGCAGCUUGCUGCUUUGCUGACGAGUGGCGGACGGGUGAGUAAUGUCUGGGAAACUGCCUGAUGGAGGGGGAUAACUACUGGAAACGGUAGCUAAUACCGCAUAACGUCGCAAGCCCAAAGAGGGGGACCUUAGGGCCUCUUGCCAUCGGCUGUGCCCAGAUGGGAUUAGCUAGUAGGUGGGGUAACGGCUCACCUAGGCGACGAUCCCUAGCUGGUCUGAGAGGAUGACCAGCCACACUGGAACUGAGACACGGUCCAGACUCCUACGGGAGGCAGCAGUGGGGAAUAUUGCACAAUGGGCGCAAGCCUGAUGCAGCCAUGCCGCGUGUAUGAAGAAGGCCUUCGGGUUGUAAAGUACUUUCAGCGGGGAGGAAGGGAGUAAAGUUAAUACCUUCGCUCAUUGACGUUACCCGCAGAAGAAGCACCGGCUAACUCCGUG
rnacentral:rRNA from 1 species